rnacentral:tRNA from 1 species
ACCACUGUAAUUUAUUAAGAAUAUUAGUUUGUGGAACUAAAAGAGUUUUUAUAGCCGGUGGUA